GUCAGCAAUAAAAUCCAAAUCAACUAACUCAGAGCACUAUUCUGAAACCACAAACCUUUUCCUUCAAACCUAAAUAUACAGGAAGUUUUGAUAACAGAAGAGCAGUACUCACAUGGAAAACAAAGGAAAUGGACACCAGAUCAAAUAUGAUGAAAAAAUGCAGUUUUCCUAACACUUUGAAUUCCUAUGUGUUACAAGUCCUUCUUCUAGGCAUGAUUCAACACUGAGUGAAGCUGGAAUGCCUGGACAGAGUUUUCACAGGCUGGGACCAACCAAUGAAGCUGACAAACAAGAUACCCAAGGAGGACAUGGUCCUGCUGCCAAAAUAACAGGGCAAAGAAUACAUACAAGUGACCUAUUUUCAAUGAUAAAAUCUUAUUUAAGGAGUUGAUUGGAAAGAAGAGGGAUUGGAUGGUUUCCUCUGAAGCCCAGACAAUAUUUUCUACCUCUGACUACUACCUAGGCUAGCUGUGUUUCACUUAUGAAGAGAAAGAAGCAGGCAGGAUUGCUUUCCAGCACACAUCUGCGCCUCUCCUGAAAACUCGGGCAAGGACUCGUGACUGCAGGGAUGAGUGAUUCCUGAGCCAACUGUGCCACCGUGAGGCCAGAGAACUCAAAUGCACUGAAAUCGCACAAGGAUCCCUGCUGUCAAACGUUUGUUAAAUUAAGAGCCUUCAUAAGCAUAUAUAUAUAUAUGUAUAUAUAUAUUCCUAUGUUCAACCAGGGGAAAAGUUAUUUUUAUUCUAAAUUAAUUACAAAUGGCCUGCCAAAGCAUUGGAAUUCACACUGACCUUCUUUCUCUGUCCUUUGUCUUUACCAGUAUGUACAAGAGUUUCAGAAACUACAGAGUGUGAGGGGUAAGAACUGUGGUAUUGAGGAUUAUAUGAAUUAGGUAUGGCUUCAUAACCAUGAAUUUCUUUCCAGUUCCUGCAAAUGAAACUUAAGUACCUUCAGCAUCUAUUAAAUGUAUCAGUGUCAUGUGGGGCCCAGAAAAUACCUCUAAGUAUAGAGGAACCCAAGGGACCCAGCCAGAAGUUCACAGUAAACAUUUAAUACAUAUUGAAAGCAUUAAGAUGAUCACUAAGUACAGCAGUGCUCUUGGCUUCUUGGAUCAGGGAACUGGAGUGAAAGUACAGGUCUCAGCUUUCAAACCAUAUGCAACAGUUAAUGCAUUCCCCCAAAAAUAGGAACUAGAGUCCUCAGAUGCCUUCCUCCACAAAGGGAUAAAGAUUCAGGAGCACUCCUCUCCCACCAUGUAGGGCACGCAGUGAGGGUGGAGUGCAGAAGGGAAUGAAAGGGAAAUGGCAGAAAAGAAAGAGGGAGAAAGAUUGUUUUCACACUGUAAUAGGGGCCUGCUUGCCAAAAUUUUAGGAAGUGGAGAGCAGAGAGGAGAACUCCUGGUAGAACUCCUCUCCCAGUCAGAUGCUCCCAUCACCAUGUUAUAGAUCCAUAUGUUCAAGUUCAACAGAAGAGUUAUUCUUUCACCCUCAACUCAACUCUUUAGUGUGCAGGGUAAUCUCAAAAAAAAAAAAAAGUAAAAUUUUUCAGUGUUGUCAUGAAACCUGUACCUCCAGAAUAAAGGUGAAGUAGAAAAAUUAAGAAUGUAGUAUGAAGACUCAGGGACUGGCAGUGGCUUUUUGAGUUACUUCCAUUCACCCUGAAUUGUUGGGGGCACCAAUCUGCCACAUCCUUAGAGCUGCAUCUGAUGUUUACCCCAUCCCCUAAUCCCCCAGAAUACCUGCAAGAAGUCAGAUGAAAAGAAACAGAAUAAGGUUUGCCUUACUUCUACGUCAAAACCCAUUCUCAUUUUUAAAAGCACAGACGGUAAAAAGACAAUAUGAGUACAUUCCACACAGAUCACAAGAAGGAACAUUCAGUUCAAAACAAUGACAAGGUUACUCACUGCUGUUGCCUAUGUGCAAGUACCUACUUUGGGGACACUCAUUUUUCAGGUUCCAUCAACAAUAUGGACAAAAACUCUCAAUUCAAAACCCUUGAACUCUGAAAAGGAAAUAGUUUUGGAGAUACCACAGGAUUACUGAAAAAUCUGCAUGAUUGUGUCAAAUAGAACACAAAUCUACAGGGAACCUGUAGUUGAAUCAAAAGGUCUAAAUGGGAUCUACAUUUCAACAACAUAAUUAUGUCCUAAAUCAUGCCCUGAAUAGUUGGUUCUAUUGGUGUCAAGGACUUAUGUAGACAAUUACCUACAAAAACCUACAUUUCAGUCUUCUAGUCCAGAGCUAGCUCUCAUAUGUAAGGUUUGGACUGAAAUAUAAGAAGAUCUUGCAACCUGGCAGACCAUCUAGACCUUCUAGAGAGCCAGACAGAAAUAUGUAUCCCUUUGAGAUGCCUUCAGACGCCUCACUUGGAUCCAAGGUGACUCUCCAGAAGACCUGGAGCUUCCCACAAGUUCUGUGUAAUCACUGCCAGUCCAUGCAGAUGCCUUGAAUCCCCAGCGUGCCUCAGAGGGCAGUGGACACCUUUGUGCAGGUAACCAGAUAAAGAUUCUAACAAACUUGAUUCACACCAGUUGAGAUAAAUGUCUGCCAUGGAAGCAGCAGCAGUCAAUUUUCCAGAACAGAGGCUGGACUCAAAUGUAGUCUUCACACAGGAUGUAGAUACAGCUGAAACAUCUCCUUCCCUGAGUGAGGGCUCUAACUCUUACCUGUGGUUUCCAGCCUGGAAGACCUAUGAAUCCUUUCUAAAAAAUAAAAAUAAACUAUGACUAGGAAUAAUGGGCAUAUAUAGAGCAAACUACUUAUAAGUUAUUUAUUUUGUGUUGUAGGUCUCACACCUGUAAUGCAAAUCAUUUACAUGUCCACUAUCAAAAAGAAAUUGAAUGCCAUUUCCUUCAGCUGUCAUAAAGAGAGAGACCUUCUGCUGCUGUUCCUUCUUGAAUGAGAAAGCUGGAGGAGACUUAAGCCAAAUGAGUGAAUCCCAGCUAACUGCUACCACAGGGAAACACUUGUGUGCUGCUUCUCUGCAAAUUCCUGACUGACCGGGUUAGCUGAUCCCCUGAUCCCUUGCUCAGGAGCAGCAGUUGUUACAAAUCCCAUCACAGAUGUCUAAUGCCUAUUUUGCAUUGUAGAAGUAACUUUGGUAUCUAUGAUGGAAUGGUAGAAACUUUGAAUGAUGAUUCUCAAUAGAAACCCUUUUUUUUUUUUUUUUUUUUUUUUUGCUAAGCUGCUACAG